rnacentral:lncRNA from 11 species
AGCUGUCUUUGUGUGGGGUGGUUGGUGUUCUGUGCGUUGGAAUGGGACUUCCUCGCAUGUGGGGGGACAAGGCUACGGGGCUCGGAGGGUCUCGACUGCGGAGGCCUUGCAGAGGGGGGAGGGGAGAGGGUUGAGCGCCGGGUCAACGGCGAAGAGGAGGAGGAGGAGGAGGAGGAGGAGGGACCCAGGAGCUGCCACAAUUCGCUGUCUCCUGGCUGCUGCUCUUGCUGCGCCCGCUCCUCCUCCUCCUCCUCCUCGCCUUGGGCUGCCUUCCGAGCAGGUAGGAGGGGCUGGGCGGGAGAGAGAGAGAGAGAGAGAGAGUGUCCCCUUCCCAGCAGCCGAAGGAGGGACCCAUGGGCACAAAGUCCCCUUUGAGCCAGCAUGGAAGGGGUCUGGGCCAGGGACUGGGAGAAGCUUUCCUGGCUGGUCCUGCAAGGGAUGAUUCGAAGGCUUUUCCAGGGACGUCCAUUUCUUUCUGCAGCUGUCAUCCUUGGGAACUGGUGAGGCAGGCCAAUCUAUUUUCCCUUUCUCUCUCAGUUUUGCUUUUAAGAAGAGUUCAGUAGAGACAGCCUUACUUUGCUU